AUGAUCUAUAGAGCCCUUUUGAUUUUUCUAUGGCAACAUUUGCUAUGCUGACGUCAUUGCCACGUCAUUACUGUCAGUCAGACAGAAAUAAAAGAAAAAUGGAUGCCGUUCAGACGUACACGCAUUAUUUGGAACUGAAAAUUACGUAAUUUAUCGACCUGCUGGCUUGUAUUUGUUAUAAAUCAUAAAAAAAUUAUGGAAAACAUCAUGAACAAUAAUGAAACAAACCGAACCUUUAGCUACAAUAAUAAAAUGACCCCAUGACGCCAGUGGAACUACGUGGUUUUCUUUCAUGAUGAUUUGAUGAUACCAUAAUGGAAUUAGCCAAGUUUUCGCCGUAUUGGGUGCUAGAUGCCCCUUGGAGUUAAGCCCCAGUGCCACUAUACUACCUUACCAGUUAUGUGUGGGUGUUGUAGUCCUAAGACACCCCGGAGGUACAAAGGGCCUUCACAAACUCACGCCACGCCUUCCUAUCUUCAGCAACCCUCGUGACCUCGCUCCACCAGCUCAAACCUGCCAGUCGCAGCUCAUUUUUCGACGGACCGCUUCCAUGAGUAGACAAGGCACCGACGAUCACGGCUUGCAUCACCUGUACUGCUUCGUAAUAUGUUUCAAUGAAAGAGUUAAAAUUCUUCUCCAUGUACAAUCACUUCUAACGCCUACACUGACUACACCAAAUAUGAUCAUCACUCAACGUGUCUCACAUCAAGAUACUUUUCAAAAGUCAUCGAGAAGAGGAACAUAAUAUCUUUUUUCCCAUUGUUGCCUGAAUAAUCCUAACUAAAAGUUACUUCUCUAUUCUAUUUUUCCUGCAUGGAGUGGCGCUUUUCCGUCUAAUGGAAACGAUAUGAACAUAUAUGCUCUGGGUUUUUUUUUUUUUUGUGCACCUUUCCAAUAUUACUAAUAAAGCAUUU